UUAGAGAGUUAGCGUUCAAAUACUUAAACCGGUGGGUUCAUCGAGGGAGGCUUCUUACAACAUGAGACGAACUUUCACGUGAACUAUCGGAAUGAUUCCUUAAAGAUCCGGCUUACUUUUUACGGGUAGUUUCAUUGGUGUACCUCCCUACAAGGUGGGUUCACCAUGUACUUCUUAGUUUACUCGUGAAUCGACGACGUGCGGAUUUCUUUUUUAGAGGAUUCUUCUUUUGAUCUUUCUCUUUCAACUUGACCUAACUGUUCGUUGUAUUCUUGUUCUUCUUUCCCCGAGGUUUCUUUCCUGUUUGACUUCAUUUCUCUCGUUUCUUUAAUGGAUUCAAAGUCGUUUCUCUUCUACCCUAACCUGGUAGUGUUAGCGUGUGGUAUCUUUUGUUACUCAUAACCUCGUUGG
rnacentral:rRNA from 1 species